UUAUACAGCAAAAUCAGUAAAAAGUACUUAAAAUCAUUUUUUUUUUACAUAUAAGAAUGAAAUAUAUUUCAUUCAUGAACACCAGCUUUUCUAUUUUCAAGAGUGGCGUAGCCACACAUGAACAUAUUGCAUCUGGUGUUCACUCAGUGAAAUAAAUUUCAAUCUUACAUGCAAAACAAACAAAUAUCCUCUAUGAAUUCAUAUAUUUUAUGAAAUAUUUGUUUCAAAAUUUUGCUAUUGGCAUUGUAGGAAGGCCAUGUUGGUGUUUUAAAACUGUUGUUGGACUUUGGUGUUAACAGCAAUGUCAUUGAUGCUAAGGGAAGAACAGCUCUUCAUAUAGCAGCAGGUGCUCAACAUGCAGACUGUGUUUUAAUCUUACUGCAACAUGGUGCUGACUGUAGACUUGACAAAGCUGGAACCAGUCCAAAACAACUGGUGGUGAAACAGGAUGUUCUUAAGGUGUUUGACCAGUUUGAGGAUACUUGACCAGUUUGAGGAUACUUGAAUACCAUAAUAUGUCAUAAUGAAGAAAGUGUUGUCCAGGUUUUUGACAGUGUUGGUACAAGAUGUGAUACAAGGAAUCAAUGAGAAAAAAGAAUUAAAGAUUCAUUAUGUGUGCAACCUCUGUAAAACCGUUUUGUAUGGUUUUAUGUAUAGUUGAGACUGGGAGUAAUGUAAUUGUCACCUCUGGACUGGAUAAUGUUUUCCUCAUCAUAGGGCAUGUUUUUUUUCUAAUGGCAGAUAUACAAAUUUGUUACGAGCUGUUAAAAAUGUACAUCUAUAUAAUUCAUAAAAAGGCAUCCUUAAAAGUAAAUAAACAGAUAAGAGAAUCUGUAAGAUCAAUAUAGUCCAGAGAGCAGUUAUUUUUUUUUUUAGUACAGGCCUUAUAAAGGUAAGUAUUUCUGCUUGUUAGCUCACCUUGCACAAAGUGCAGGUGAGCUUUUAGGAUGGCCAACCAAAUGGCGUCCGUCGUCAGUCGUCCGUCCACAUUUUAAAUAUUCUAAGGACAUCUUCUAUGAUACCGCAAGGCCAAUGUUAAUGAAACUUGGCAGGAAUACUCUUUGUAUGAAGCUCUAUCAAGAUUGUUCAAAGAAUUCCAUUUCAUGCAGAACUCUGGUUGCCAUGGCAACCGAAAGAAAAAUCUUUAAAUAUCUUCUUUUAAAGAACCGUAAGAGCUAGAGCUUAGAUAUUUGGCAUGAAACAUCUUCUUAUGAGUGUCUACCAAGUUUGUUCAAAUAAAAGCCCUAGGGUCAAAAUUGGCCCGGCCCCAGGGGGUCAAUGAUUUUCCCUAUAUGCAUAUAGUAAAAACUUAAAAAAUCUUCUUUUAAAGAACCCAAAGAGCUAGAGCUAAGAUAUUUGGCAUGAAACAUCUUCUAGUGAGUGUCUACAAAGUUUGUUCAAAUAAAAGCCCUGGGGUCAAAAUUGGCCCCGGCCCGGGGGGUCAUUGAUUUUCCCUAUAUGCAUAUAGUAAAAACUUAAAAAAUCUUCUUUUAAAGAACUGUAAAAGCUAGAGCUUAGAUAUUUGGCAUGAAACAUCUUCUAGUAAGUGUCUACCAAGUUUGUUCAAAUAAAAGCCCUGGGGUCAAAAUUGGCCCGCCCCAGGGGGUCAUUGAUUUUCCCUAUAUGCAUAUAGUAAAAACUUAAAAAAUCUUCUUUUAAAGAACCCAAAGAGCUAGAGCUAAGAUAUUUAGCAUGAAACAUCUUCUAAUGAGUGUCUACCAAGUUUGUUCAAAUAAAAGCCCAGAGGUCAAAAUUUGCCCUGCCCCAGGGGGUCAUUGAUUUUCCCUAUAUGCAUAUAGUAAAAACUUAAAAAAUCUUCUUUUAAAGAACCCAAAGAGCUAGAGCUAAGAUAUUUGACAUGAAAUAUCUUCUAAUGAGUGUCUACCGAAUUUGUUCAAAUAAAAGCCCUGGGGUCAAAAUUGGCCCCGCCCCAGGGGGUCAUUGAUUUUCCCUAUAUGCUUAUAGUAAAAACUUAAAAAAUCUUCUUUUAAAGAACUGUAAGAGCUAGAGCUUAGAUAUUUGACAUGAAACAUCUUCUAGUGAAUGUCUACCAAGUUUGUUCAAAUAAAAGCCCUGGGGUCUAAAUUGGCCCUGUCCCAGGGGGUCAUAGAUUUUCCCUAUAUGCAUAUAGUAAAAACUUAAAAAUCUUCUUUUAAAGAACCCAAAGAGCUAGAGCUAAGAUAUUUAGCAUGAAACAUCUUCUAAUGAGUGUCUACUAAGUUUGUUCAAAUAAAAGCCCUGGGGUCAAAAUUGGCCCCGCCCCAGGGGGUCAUUGAUUUUCCCUAUAUGCAUAUAGUAAAAACUUAAAAAAUCUUCUUUUAAAGAACUCAAAGAGCUAGAGCUAAGAUAUUUAGCAUGAAACAUGUUCUAAUGGGUGUCUACCAAGUAUGUUCAAAUAAAAGCCCUGGGAUCAAAACUGGCCGCCCCGGGGGUCAUUGAUUUUCCUUAUAUGUGUAUAGCAAAAACUUAAAAAUCUUCUUUGAAAAAACCCAAAUAGCUUGAGUUUAGAUAUUAUCGAGAAACAUUUUUAAGUAAAUAUCUACAAAGUUUGUUCAAAUAAAAGCCCGGGGGUCAAAACUGGCCCUGCCCCAGAGGUGUCAUUGUUUUUAACUAUAUGUGUAUAGUAAAAACUUAAAAAAUCUUCUUUUAAAAAACCCAAUGAGCUAGAACUUAGAUGUUUAGCAUGAAACACCUUUUUAUGGGUGUCUACCAAGUCUGUUCAAAUAAAAGGGGGGGGGGGGCUAUAUACAGGUGAGCUACCUCAGGGCCAUCAUGGCCCUCUUGUAUGUCUUUUGUGUUAUAUGUCUUAUUUUUGAAGUUUGAACUGUUUUUGAUAAACAUUAAGAGUAAUUUAUAUGUAGCGGCAAAAAUUAAAGAAAUAUGAAUAAUUUGAAUAUUUCACACUAUUAUACUUGAAGUCGAGGGUGUUAUAUUUUAGUUCUUGGGUUGCUUAUAUGCACCAUUACGCUGAGAGACGUGUUAUGUUUUUAGCUCACCUGUCACAAAGUGACGGGGUGAGCUUUUGUGAUCGCUUUUCGUCCCUCGUCCAGAAACAGUGUAAUUAUGUCUUAUUAAAUUACUAUUUCAGUGUUUUGACUUCCCAAACUUUUUUCGAGUAGUGCUCGCAGUCCUGCAGGAAAAGUUGAUAGAGGCAUGUGACAGAAUCAAAGAGUCCGUCCGUCUGUAAACUUUUACUUUAAAUGACAUCUCUUCAUAAACUACUAAGCCAAUUUCAUCCAAACUUCACAGGAAUGUUCCUUUGGUGGUCACCUUUAAAAAUUGUUCAAAGAAUGUAAUUCCAUGCAGAACCCUGGUUGCCAUGGCAACCAAAAGAAAUAACUUAAAAUAUCUUCUUUUAAAAAACUGUAAGAGCAAGAGCUUAGAUAUUUGCCAUGAAACAUCUUCUAGUGGGUGUCUACCAAGUGUGUUCAAAUAAAAGCCCUGGGGUCAAAAUUGGCCCCGCCCCAGGGGGUCAUUGAUUUUCCCUAUAUGCAUAUAGUAAAAACUUAAAAAAUCUUCUUUUAUAGAACCCAAAGAGCUAGAGCUAAGAUAUUUAGCAUGAAACAUCUUCUAAUGAGUGUCUACCAAAUUUGUUCAAAUAAAAGCACUGGGGUCAAAAUUGGCCCUGCCCCAGGGGGUCAUUGAUUUUCCCUAUAUGCAUAUAGUUAAAACUUAAAAAAUCUUCUUUUAAAGAACCCAUAGAGCUAGAGCUAAGAUGUUUAGCAUGGAACAUGUUCUUAUGAGUGUCUACCAAGUCUGUUCAAAUAAAAGCUCCGGGGUCAAAAUUGGCCCCGCCCCAGGGGAUCAUUGAUUUUCCUUAUAUGCAUAUAGUAAAAACUUAAAAAAUCUUCUUUUAAAGAACUCAAAGAGCUAGAGCUAAGAUAUUUGCAUGGAACAUGUUCUAAUGGGUUUCUACCAAGUAUGUUCAAAUAAGAGCCCUGGGGUCAAAAUUGGCCCCGCCCUGGGGGUCAUUGAUUUUCCUUAUAUGUGUAUAGCAAAAACUUAAAAAUCUUCUUUGAAAAAACCCAAAUAGCUAGAGUUUAGAUAUAAGGCAUGAAACAUCUUCUAGUAAGUGUCUAUAAAGUUUGUUCAAAUAAAAGCCCUGGGGUCAAAACUGGCCCCGCCCCAGGGGUGUCAUUUAUUAACUAUAUGUGUAUAAUAAAACCUUAAAAAAUCUUCUUUUAAGAAACCCAAUGAGCUAGAGAUUAGAUGUUUAGCAUGAAACAUCUUAUGUUUGUCUACCAAGUUUGUUCAAAUAAAAGCCCUUGGGUUAAAAUCGGCCCUGCCAGGGGGGUUGGGGGGGGGGUUGCUAUAUACAGGUGAGCGACUUCAGGGCCAUCAUGGCCCUCUUGUUUUUCUGUUACAAUGUAAGUGAAGAAGGUUUAUGCAAUGAGAUUCAUCCUCAAAUGUUUUAUAAUUGGAUGCUGCUAUUUUAUUAUGCAUAUGGUGUUUUUUUUUUUAGCUCACCUGUCACAAAGUGACAGGGUGAGCUUUUGUGAUUGCUUUUCGUCCGGCGUCCGUAAACUUUUACUUUAAAUGACAUCUCCUCAUAAACCACUAGGCUAAUUUCAUCCAAACUUCACAGGAAUGUUCCUUUGGUGGUCACCUUUAAAAAUUGUUCAAAGACUUUAAUUCCAUACAGAACUUUGGUUGCCAUGGCAACCGAAAGAAAAAACUUUAAAUAUCUUCUUUUAAAAAACCCUAAGAGCUAGAGCUUAGAUAUUUGACAUGAAACAUCUUCUAGUGAGUGUCUACCAAGUUUGUUCAAAUAAAAGCCCUGGGGUCAAAAUUGGCCCCGCCCCAGGGGGUCAUUGAUUUUCCCUAUAUGCAUAUAGUAAAAACUUAAAAAAUCUUCUUUUAAAGAACCAAAAGAGCUAGAGCUGAGAUAUUUAGUAUGAAACAUGUUCUAAUAAGUGUCUACCAAGUUUGUUCAAAUUUAAGCCCUGGGGUCAAAAUUGGCCCCCCAAGGGGGUCAUUGAUUUUCCCUAUAUGCAUAUAGUAAAAACUUAAAAAAUCUUCUUUUAAAGAACUCAAAGAGCUAGAGCUAAGAUAUUUAGCUUGAAACAUGUUCUAAUAGGUGUCUACUAAGUUUGUUCAAAUAAAAGCCCUUGGGUCAAAAUUGGCCCCGCCCCGGUGGUCAUUGGUUUUCCUUAUAUGUGUAUAGCAAAAUCUUUAAAUAUCUUCUUUGAAAAAACCAAAAUGGCUAGAGUUUAGAUAUAAAGCAUGAAACAUCUUCUAAUGAGUGUCUACAAAGUUAGUUCAAAUAAAAGCCCUGGGGUCAAAAUUGGCCCCGCCCUGGGGGUCAUUGAUUUUCCUUAUAUGUGUAUAGCAAAAACUUAAAAUCUUCUUUGAAAAAACCCAAAUAGCUAGAGUUUAGAUAUAAAGCAUGAAACAUUUUCUAGUAAGUGUCUACAAAGUUUGUUCAAAUAAAAGCCCUGGGGUCAAAAUUGGCAUCGCCCAAGGGGUGUCAUUGUUUUUAAAUAUAUGUGUAUAGUAAAAACUUUAAAAAAUCUUCUUUUAAAAAGCCCAAUGAGCUAGAGCUUAGAUGUUUAGCAUGAAACAUGUUCUAAUAAGUGUCUACCAAGUUUGUUCAAAUAAAAGCCCUGGGGUCAAAAUUGGCCCCGCCCCAGGGGGUCAUUGCUUUUCCCUAUUUGCAUAUAGUAAAAACUUAAAAAUCUUCUUUUAAAGAACUCAAAGAGCUAGAGCUAAGAUAUUUAGCAUCAAACAUGUUCUUAUAGGUGUCUACCAAGUUUGUUCAAAUAAAAGCCCUGGGGUCAAAAUUGGCCCCACCCUGGGGUCAUUGAUUUUCCUUAUAUUUGUAUAGCAAAAACUUAAAAAAUCUUCUUUGAAAAAACCCAUAUAGCUAGAGUUUAGAUAUUAAGCAAGAAACAUUUUCUAACGAGUGUCUACAAAGUUUGUUCAAAUAAAAGCCCUGGGGACAAAAUUGGCCCCGCCCGGGGGGUCAUUGAUUUUCCUUAUAUGUGUAUAGCAAAAACUUAAAAUCUUCUUUGAAAAAACCCAAAUAGCUAGAGUUUAGAUAUUAAGCAUGAAACAUCUUCUAGUAAGUGUCUACAAAGUUUGUUCAAAUAAAAGCCCUGGGGUCAAAACUGGCCCCGCCCCAGGGGUGUCAUUGUUUUUAACUAUAUGUGUAUAGUAAAAACUUUAAAAAAUCUUCUUUUAAAAAGCCCAAUGAGCUAGAGCUUAGAUGUUUAGCAUGAAACAUGUUCUAAUAAGUGUUUACCAAGUUUGUUCAAAUAAAAGCCCUGGGGUCAAAAUUGGCCCCGCCCCAGGGGGUCAUUGAUUUUCCCUAUAUGCAUAUAGUAAAAACUUAAAAAAUCUUCUUUUAAAGAACUCAAAGAGCUAGAGCUAAGAUAUUUAGCAUCAAACAUGUUCUAAUAGGUGUCUACCAAGUUUGUUCAAAUAAAAGCCCUGGGGUCAAAAUUGGCCCCACCCUGGGGGUCAUUGAUUUUCCUUAUAUUUGUAUAGCAAAAACUUAAAAAAUCUUCUUUGAAAAAACCCAUAUAGCUAGAGUUUAGAUAUUAAGCAAGAAACAUUUUCUAACAAGUGUCUACAAAGUUUGUUCAAAUAAAAGCCCUGGGGACAAAAUUGGCCCCGCCCGGGGGGUCAUUGAUUUUCCUUAUAUGUGUAUAGCAAAAACUUAAAAUCUUCUUUGAAAAAACCCAAAUAGCUAGAGUUUAGAUAUAAAGCAUGAAACAUCUUCUAGUAAGUGUCUACAAAGUUUGUUCAAAUAAAAGCCCUGGGGUCAAAACUGGCCCCGCCCCAGGGGUGUCAUUGUUUUUAACUAUAUGUGUAUAGUAAAAACUUUAAAAAAUCUUCUUUUAAAAAGCCCAAUGAGCUAGAGCUUAGAUGUUUAGCAUGAAACAUCUUCUUAUGGGGGGGGGGCUAAAUACAGGUGAGCGACCUCUGGCCAUCAUGGCCCUCUUGUUUUUUAUUGGGUUUUAUGUCACACCGAUACAGUAUUGGUCAUAUGGCGACGUUCCAGCUUUACUGGUGGAGGAAGACCUCAGGUGCCCUUCCUUGCAUUAUUUCAGGCACAAACAGGUACCUGAGUAGAACCAUCGACGUUCCGUAAGUUAGCUGGAUAGCUUCCUCACAUGACAGAAUUCAAAGUCCCCGUCGGGAUUCGACUUACAGCGGUGAAGGGCAAGUGGUUUCAAGUCAACGACCUUAACCACUCGGCCACGGACGCCCUGCAUAUGUUGUAGCUUGUAGCCAUUCAGAUCUAAUAAAGAGUACAGGGACAAAGUGUAAGGUUACUGUCCAUUCCUAUGUGACCGAGUGAUUUUCAAAACUAACACCUUUCCAGUACGAUUACAAACCACAACAACAAGCAAGGGAGGAUAAUUAAGACAUCAAACAUCAGCAAAUUUGACAGUAUUACUUUAUUGUUUUAUAUUUAGUAAAAGACAAACAUGCAUAUCAAUAUAUAUUAUACAAGCUUUUUACAUGGAAACUUUGCUAAUGCUAUCUCACAAUAGCUGCAGAAGAAGAUUUAAAUUGUUAAAUAACUGACAGAUUUAUUACCAAAAAUGUGGAACAUGGGUUUUAUAUACACUAACACAGUCAAACCUAUGCUGAAAUACUAACUUCAGCUAAAAAGUCAUCUGCUUCCUAAGACUAUAUUGCUUUUUUAUUUAAAUUGAAACAAUAACUGAACCUAAUACUGUCAAUAAAAACCACCUAAGUAUAAAAGACAACCUGCUUCUGUCUGAAUAAUGGUCUCCAUACAGUACUGACCCUUUAACUUUUUUUUCAUAUUUAACUUUUAAUUGUUGGGUCUCCAAACAGGUUACAUUGUAUUAAAUUGAAAAGUGCUUUAUUGUUAACCCUUUUCACACUGUAUAUUGGAGUUGUCCAGCUUUAUAUUUGGAAAUAUCCAUGAUUUCAACCUAAGAAUGCUAAAAUUGAGCACCCAACAAUGUAGAGUU